GUUUCCGGGAGCCCGGCGGACGCUGGGUCUGCAGAUGCCAUCCAGGCGCACGGCGGGUAUAGUGGUUCCGCAACCUUGGGAUGUUCGGCUGAGCGCCUGCCUAACAUGGGAGCGCCUGCCUAACCCUCCUGACUGGAGGGUCAGCGGCGGGGAGUCCUGGCCUUCAAUCGGCCAUCGCCACGGCAGAAACUGGGGCCCGGGCUGCGUCCAGGCCCUUCCCCGUCCGUCCACAGGUCUCAUGGGCGCCCGGACUGGGGCUGAUGUAGUUUCCCGACCUCUGACACAUAGGAUCUGGAGAUUAAAGAUUCACAGGCUGCUCCCCAGAAUACUGAAGAAGAAACUCUAGGAGUGAGACCCAACAAUCUGUGUUUAACAAGUCCCCAGGCCCCUGGAUCCUCCUGGAAUCCCUGAUCCCUGUUGCUCCCUGGCGGAGUUUUCUAGUCCCUCUUACUUGAAGCAUGUCUUUCAGAGCCCGGCACCACCCAAGUUGGGUAUCUGCUACACCUCUAUGGUAUUUUUUUCACCUCAUAUCAUACCUUCCUCCCUCACUGGACUUCAGUGUGGGACCUGCAGGUCUCAGGCCUUCUGGGAAGUCCCAGCUUUUCUUGAAUGUUCUCUCUCUCUGGCCAGCUCAGGCUGGAGCAGUGGGUGUUGGUGCCAUCCUGUGGCUAUAGGUGAUAAGCCGGCUGUUCUUCACUGACCUGGUCUUACCUUGAACCCUGGAGUUCUCACAUGCAUGGAUUUAAAUGCUGUGUCUUUCUAAGGGCACAUUAUGGCCAUUUUCCUUAUCUCCCUCCCAAGGGGCUGUUUCCUGUAUUUAUUGACUCCCUGUUUAAAAAAAAUAUAUGUAUAUAUAGACAAAUUGGAUUGUACCCCAUAAACUGCAUGUUUUAAAAAUACUUCAAAGAAUAGUUUUUCAUUUUUUUCUUGCUGGUUUUUAUGUAUCUUCUAAAUUGUAUAUAUUUAUGGGGUAUAAAAUGAUGUUGUGAUUUUUCAAUACAGUGUGGAAUGAGAAUCAAAUUAAC
rnacentral:lncRNA from 1 species